GUGCUUACUUGGGCAGCCCAGGUACUGGGGUUGGAGAACUACAGAGAUUAGUGUGGCCCCUGCGCAAGGAUGACAUGCAAAUGUGUGAGGCGUUCCCUAGUUAA
ensembl:snRNA U6 U6 spliceosomal RNA